rnacentral:rRNA from 1 species
UACGAGGGGGGCGAGCGUUGUUCGGAAUUAUUGGGCGUAAAGGGUGCGUAGGCGGUUUGAUAAGUCAUCUGUGAAAUUCCCGGGCUCAACCUGGGGGCUGCGCUUGAGACGUGCGAUCUUGAGUGGGGAAGAGGGUCGUGGAAUUCCCAGUGUAGAGGUGAAAUUCGUAGAUAUUGGGAAGAACACCGGUGGCGAAGGCGGCGACCUGGUCCUUGACUGACGCUGAGGCGCGAAAGCGUGGGGAGCAAACAGG